GGGCGGUCAAACGGCAGGCAUGCCCCGCCCUCUUUUAAAGGAGCCGCGCCCUCGGGGCCGGCCUUCCCGCUUUAGGCCUGUGAGGGACCAGAGAGUCGAAGAGGGCGGGUUCCUCCCGUCCGUCAGCCUGUCCUCCCCAUCGGGAAGGGGGCAGGCUGGACCCAGCUCCCUGGGCCCGGCGUCACGGAUGUUGGGUGGCUCUAACGCGGCCCCUCGCGUGCCUUAAAAGGAGCAGCGAGCGGCUGCUCUACGCGACUACCCCGGCGAGAGGGGGGUUGGGGAGGAGAAGGCCUGCGGAAACUACGCUUCCCAGAGUGCAGCGCGCGCAGCUCCCGAUUGGCUCCGCGCGGGCUUCCAGCUGCUGCACCUUCGGCCUGCAGCCCUGGGGGUUUUGUGCUGCGGGUGGGGACCUGAGGCUUAAACCUAGGACCUUGUGCACUGUAAUGUGAGUGCUUAAUCAGGUUCCAGAUGCCAUCAGGAUGCUGGCCAGGCUUCCCUGGAUUGAAGACCCCACCAAUGUGUCCUGGAGCUCAGCUUCCCCAGAGACCCACCCUACUAGGGAAAGAGAGAGGCAGACUGGGAGUAUGGACCGACCAGUCAACACCCAUGUUCAGCGGGGAAGCAAUUACAGAAGCCAGAUCUUCUACCUUCUGCAACCCACAAUGACCCUGGGUCCAUGCUCCCAGAGGGAUAGA